UACGUAGGGUGCGAGCGUUGUCCGGAAUUAUUGGGCGUAAAGAGCUCGUAGGCGGCUUGUCGCGUCGGAUGUGAAAGCCCGGGGCUUAACUCCGGGUCUGCAUUCGAUACGGGCAGGCUAGAGUUCGGUAGGGGAGAUCGGAAUUCCUGGUGUAGCGGUGAAAUGCGCAGAUAUCAGGAGGAACACCGGUGGCGAAGGCGGAUCUCUGGGCCUUACCUGACGCUCAGGCGCGAAAGCUAGGGGAGCGAACAGG
rnacentral:rRNA from 1 species